GCGGGUGUAGCUCAGGGGUAGAGUACGACCUUGCCAAGGUUGGGGUCGAGGGUUCGAAUCCCUUCACCCGCUCCA
rnacentral:tRNA from 1 species